CGGCGCUGGGGGCAGCGUGGAGCCGCCCAGUGCUCGGCCCGCCCCGCAACCCGCCGGAACCGCCGCCCGCAGCGAGGAAGCGCCCGCGCGGGCGCAGGCGGCCGGGAUGGCGGGGCCCGGCUGGGGUCCCCCGCGCCUGGACGGCUUCAUCCUCACCGAGCGCCUGGGCAGCGGCACGUACGCCACGGUGUACAAGGCCUACGCCAAGAAGGACACUCGUGAAGUCGUAGCCAUAAAGUGUGUAGCCAAGAAAAGUCUGAACAAGGCAUCGGUGGAGAACCUCCUCACGGAGAUUGAGAUCCUCAAGGGCAUUCGACAUCCCCACAUUGUGCAGCUGAAAGACUUUCAGGUGUGAGCCUGGGGCGGGGCCGCUGCCAAAGGGAGCUGGAGAAGGGACACUCUCUUCAGGCCGCCUCUCUACCUCUAAACACAGUGGGACAGUGACAAUAUCUACCUCAUCAUGGAGUUUUGCGCAGGGGGCGACCUGUCUCGCUUCAUCCAUACCCGCAGGAUUCUGCCUGAGAAGGUGGCACGUGUCUUCAUGCAGCAAUUAGCUAGCGCCCUGCAAUUCCUGCAUGAACGGAAUAUCUCUCACCUGGAUCUGAAGCCACAGAACAUUCUACUGAGCUCCUUGGAGAAGCCCCACCUAAAACUGGCAGACUUUGGUUUCGCACAACACAUGUCCCCGUGGGAUGAGAAGCACGUGCUCCGUGGCUCCCCCCUCUACAUGGCCCCCGAGAUGGUGUGCCAGCGGCAGUAUGACGCCCGCGUGGACCUCUGGUCCGUGGGGGUCAUCCUGUAUGGUGAGACCUCUUUUCCCUGCUUCUCACCCUGAGGCCUACACUGUUUCCUCAGGCAAGGCCUCUCUGGGCCACUUCUGAAGGGUUCUGAUGAAAACUGACUGCUGGCCCAGGGCCCCUGCUGAGGGGCGUCAGGCCAGGCUUGACCCAUUCCCUCCCAGCCUCCACUCUGCCUCCCUUCCACAGAAGCCCUCUUCGGGCAGCCC
rnacentral:sRNA from 1 species